UACGGGGGGGCAAGGCGUUGUUCGGAAUUACUGGGCGUAAAGGGCUCGUAGGCGGCCUAACUAAGUCAGACGUGAAAUCCCUACGGCUUAACCGGGGAACUGCUCGUGAUUAACUGGAGUGGCUUGAGUUCGGGAAGAGGAUGCGGAAUUCCAGGAUGUAGCGGUAGAAAUGACGUAGAUAUCUGGAGGAACAUCCGGUGGGCGAAGGCGGCAUCCUGGACCGACACUGA
rnacentral:rRNA from 1 species